rnacentral:miRNA from 1 species
UAGCAGCACAUCAUGGUUCGC